UUUAAAAAAAAGAAAAAAAAAGCUCGCUGUGGUCCGUCCAUCCACCGCACGGCCGGCGACACCGGCGAUUGCCAGGGCUCGUCGGCGAGCGGCGGUGCCGGCCGAGGUGCUGGGCUGCUAGCGCGAGACGAAGCGGAACGAGCUGUGGCGGCGAAACGCGGCCGCCGAGGCCCAACUGUCCAAGCAGCGGCAGCACGCGGGCGGCGCCACAACCAGGGCUUCCGCGACCAUGAGGGUUUCACACUCGGCAACAAAGCUCUUAUUAGAUCCAUGGAUAUCAAGGUUAAAAAUCUUGAUGGCGAUAUAUUGUUCCCAUCCAACAUCAGCUUAGUCAAUCUUGUGCAAUUUGAAAGUGACGAGAUAAAGCCCCAGUCGCCUGCUUCUAGCAUGUUGUAUGCCACAUCAAGGUCCUCCAAGUUUGUCAGUGAUCCAAAGGAUGGCAUGAUCCCAGUUAACUUGUUGUCAGCUAGGUAA
rnacentral:lncRNA from 1 species